AGUGAACGCUGGCGGUAGGCCUAACACAUGCAAGUCGAACGGCAGCACAGUAAGAGCUUGCUCUUACGGGUGGCGAGUGGCGGACGGGUGAGGAAUACAUCGGAAUCUACUUUUUCGUGGGGGAUAACGUAGGGAAACUUACGCUAAUACCGCAUACGACCUACGGGUGAAAGCAGGGGAUCUUCGGACCUUGCGCGAUUGAAUGAGCCGAUGUCGGAUUAGCUAGUUGGCGGGGUAAAGGCCCACCAAGGCGACGAUCCGUAGCUGGUCUGAGAGGAUGAUCAGCCACACUGGAACUGAGACACGGUCCAGACUCCUACGAGAGGCAGCAGUGGGGAAUAUUAGACAAUGGGCGCAAGCCUGAUCCAGCCAUACCGCGUGGGUGAAGAAGGCCUUCGGGUUGUAAAGCCCUUUUGUUGGGAAAGAAAAGCAGCAGGUUAAUACCCCGCUGUUCUGACGGUACCCAAAGAAUAAGCACCGGCUAACUUCGUG
rnacentral:rRNA from 1 species